GGCUUGAACUCAUGACCCUGAGAUCAAGAUAUGAGCUGAGAUCAAGAGUUGGAUGCUUAACCGACUGAACCACCCAGGCACCUUGAUGUUGGAUGCCAUUAUUGAGAAGAAAUUUCAGAAGAGAAAUCAAAGUUCUGUUCAGGAUAGAUUAAAUUUUAAAUGCCUAUUAGACAUAUGACUAAAGAUAUCAAGUAGAGGUGGAUAUUUAAGUCCAGAACUCAGGAAAGGAGUCAGGACCAGAGGUCGAAAUUUGGAGUUGUCAGCCUCGGCAUGGGGAUCAUGUCUCAGGACUAGAGAGAAUCACCCAGAUGGAGAAAAGAGCCAAGGUGUGGCUCUGGGGCCCUUCUCCUUGUAGAAAGCAGCACAGAGGGGAAGGAGGUUGAGAAGAAGUGGCUUAUGAGGUUGGAUGAGAAUCAGAAGAGUUUAGUGUUAACAGAAGUCAAGAUAAGAAAGUGCUUCAAAUAAGAGAGUUCAACUGUGUCAAAUACUGCCAAGAGUCAAGAAGGAGGAAGAGAGAAAAGUGGCCCUUGGAUUUGACAAUGUGAAGUCACUGGUGACUUUGCCAGGAGUAUCUGCACUGGAGCAAAGACAUAAACUUCCAAGGGUGGAAUUUCAGACCAGCAGGCCAGGUGGAAGAGCGCCUUAGGAGUGAGGAAUCUUCCUGAGGCCACCCUAGGCCUGCUCCCGAGGAAGGCCCAGCUCCAAGGUAGUCAGCAGCUGGUGAUGGGAGGCCCCAGGCUGCUGGCCGCGGGAGGGGCUGGUCCCAUGGCCAAGACUCUGGCCUCGCUCCACGACUGGAGUUUGAAAUCGUGAGGCCCUGUCUGAAAAUCUUGAGCAAGAGUCUUGCUUAUCCCAGAGGAAUGUUUGGAAACACUAAUAAUAUUACAUUUGUGGUGAAUGUUUCAUUAUCUUACUGUUUUCUUCAGCCAAUGUGAUAGACACAUCGUAGUUUUAAGGAUUCUUAAACUUGCCUUUUUGUGAAAUGGCUGAAGUUCCCACAUAUAGGUUCGCUCCUGCUCAUGGAAACCGGUUAGUUUCAUCAUUCUGUUUCAUCAUUCCUCAGCUUGUCUAAAUCAGAAGUGUUUUUGAUAUUCAAACGCUGACCUCUGGGCAAAUGAAAAAUUGCUAAGUCGCAGUAAAAUUCUUCCAGGCUUGGAGCACAUAGUCAUGAGCACAUCGCUGCAGAAUGGGAUCCCUGGGGCUGAUGUCAAGACAGGGAACACCAGCCCCCAUGGAAGAGUCUGCCCCUCCUCUGGAGUUCUCUUAAUGGACUUGUGAACCAGUCAACUCUGCGUGCUUGACAUGUGUCGGUUCUCAGAACAACUCCUGCCCCAUUUUAAAAAGUCAUUAAGUUCCAUUAUAACUAAAAGCAAAGACUAUUGGUUAACACUUCUCCCCCCAAAACACAAUUCACAUGUUAGACAGACUAGUUAUUUUAUCCCAGUGAGUUGAAAAUUCACUAUGCAUUUCCCCUCCUCUGAUCCUUAUGGUUGCUGAAACACAAGUCAGAGCUAUGAUGUAGAAGCAUAUUUGCCUGUUUUCUUUAGAGCCUGAGCUCCUUAAGGACAGUGGAUGAAUCUCAUGUAUCUUUUCUUCCCUCCAGGGCCCUUUGUAUAGUAAGUUCUUAUAAAAAAAAAAUUCUGAGGUGGAAAAAUGAAUAAAGAUACUCAUUCCUUAUCCUAUUUUUACAAAUUAAAAUCCUUCAUUUCCUGACUGUUUUGUCUACAGCAUUCUAAACAUCCUUACAGCCAUAAUAAUACUGUCUCUACCACAACACAGAUGAGCUUCAGAAACUUACAAACUUGUGCUCAGUGAAAGCAGCCAUAGAGGACCAUAUAUUGGAUAGUUCCCUUUAUGUGAAAUGUCCAGAGCAGGCAAAUCUCUAGAGACAGAAAAGAGAUUAGCUGUUAUAUAGGACUGAGUGGGAAGGAGAAGGGGGUGUGGAGACUGCCAAAGAUAGAAGUUUCUUUUUAGGGUCAUGAAAAAUGUUCUAAAAUUUAUGUUAUGGUCAUGAUUCAUUAACUCUGUAAAUUUACUGAGUGGUACAUUCUGAUGCUAUGGUAUGUAACUUACAAAUCAAUAAAGUUAUUAAAAAUGAA